GCUUAACGCGAAGAACCUUACCCAGACUUGACAUCCUUGGAAGGCCUCCGAAAGGAGACUGUGCCUUCGGGAACCAAGUGACAGGUGUUGCAUGGCCGUCGUCAGCUCGUGUCGUGAGAUGUUUGGUUAAGUCCAUCAACGAGCGCAACCCUUAUAGUUAGUCGAAUUUUUCUAGCUAGACUGCCCUGGCAACAGGGAGGAAGGAGGGGAUGAUGUCAGGUCAGUAUUACCCUUACGUCUGGGGCUACAACACGCUACAAUGGCCGGUACAAAGGGCAGCCAACCCGCGAGGGGGAGCUAAUCCCAUCAAAGCCGGUCUCAGUUCGGAUUGCAGGCUGAAACUCGCCUGCAUGAAGCCGGAAUCGCUAGUAACGGUAAGUCAGCACAUUACCGUGAAUACGUUACCCGGGUCUUGUACACACCGAGUCUUGUACACACCGGGUCUUGUACACAC
rnacentral:rRNA from 1 species